rnacentral:rRNA from 1 species
UGGGGAAUAUUGCACAAUGGGCGCAAGCCUGAUGCAGCCAUGCCGCGUGUAUGAAGAAGGCCUUCGGGUUGUAAAGUACUUUCAGCGGGGAGGAAGGGAGUAAAGUUAAUACCUUUGCUCAUUGACGUUACCCGCAGAAGAAGCACCGGCUAACUCCGUGCCAGCAGCCGCGGUAAUACGGAGGGUGCAAGCGUUAAUCGGAAUUACUGGGCGUAAAGCGCACGCAGGCGGUUUGUUAAGUCAGAUGUGAAAUCCUCGGGCUCAACCUGGGGACUGCAUCUGAUACUGGCAAGCUUGAGUCUCGUAGAGGGGGGUAGAAUUCCAGGUGUAGCGGUGAAAUGCGUAGAGAUCUGGAGGAAUACCGGUGGCGAAGGCGGCCCCCUGGACGAAGACUGACGCUCAGGUGCGAAAGCGUGGGGAGCAAACAGG